GUUUGAAAAAGGAGAUCCAGUUUUUUCUUCUGAAGAAAGAACAUUUUCUGAUGAAGAGCAGCUGGCUCCAAGGGGGCGAAGUAGAAGAGACAGAAUUCCUUCUGGAGGGUCUGCUGGAGGUCCUUCUGGAGGGUCUGCUGGAGGUCCUUCUGGAGGGUCUGCUGGGGUCCAUGCUGGGAGUAUGAGGCACCGCAGCCGUUCCCCACAUCAUCCAAGGUGGAAGACCCAUGAAGAGCCUGAUGAGAAAGGCUUUCAACCCCUAAGGUUCUUCCCCAAAAGAAUCCCUGGUGUUCAACCCCCUCUAAAUGUAGGAAAUCCACAACCAGGUGAAAUUUUUGAGUACUUUUUUGACAAUGAAGUCCUCACAUUAGUUUGUGAUUUUACAAACAAGGGGGCAGCCAGGAACCUGGAGAAAGGGAGGAAGUUCUC